rnacentral:rRNA from 1 species
GACGAACGCUGGCGGCGUGCCUAAUACAUGCAAGUAGAACGCUGAAGGAGGAGCUUACUUCUCUGGAUGAGUUGCGAACGGGUGAGUAACGCGUAGGUAACCUGCCUGGUAGCGGGGGAUAACUAUUGGAAACGAUAGCUAAUACCGCAUAAGAGUAGAUGUCGCAUGACAUUUGCUUAAAAGGCGCAAUUGCAUCACUACCAGAUGGACCUGCGUUGUAUUAGCUAGUUGGUGAGGUAACGGCUCACCAAGGCAACGAUACAUAGCCGACCUGAGAGGGUGAUCGGCCACACUGGGACUGAGACACGGCCCAGACUCCUACGGGAGGCAGCAGUAGGGAAUCUUCGGCAAUGGACGGAAGUCUGACCGAGCAACGCCGCGUGAGUGAAGAAGGUUUUCGGAUCGUAAGGCUCUGUUGUAAGAGAAGAACGAGUGUGAGAGUGGAAAGUUCACACUGAGACG